CCCGGCUAAUUUUUUUGUAUUUUUAGUAGAGACGGGGUUUCACCGUGUUAGCCAAGUUGGUCUUGAUCUCCUUACCUUGUGAUCCGCCUGCCUCAGCCUCCCAAAUUGCUGGGAUUACAGGCGUGAGCCACCGCCCCUGGCCCAUGUUUUUAUUUUUUGAAGACAUGGGGUCUUACCAUGUUGUCCAAGCUGGUCCUGAACUACCAGACUCAAUGUUCCUCCAGCCUCAGCCUCCCAAAAGUGCUGGGUUCACAGGUGUGAGCCACUGUGUCCGGCCUCCAGACUUUCAUACUCUGACCAACAACAAACCCAGAACCCAGAAUAGCACACCAAUCAGUGUGACAACUUCCCUGUGAGAAUAAAGCAACACAAUGAGUUAUGAGCUCAUUACCCCUACACAACCAUGUAGGUGUUGGACAAAAGCUGCAGGUCUGAUUCAUGUACUGAAUCACAAGAAAGGAGAAAGGAAAUUUACAUACUUCACAGAGAACCAACCCAGAACUGUCAAGACCUGGUGUUUCUCCAUAGGGCUGUGCCACAACUCCCAGGGUUAAGCUGCAGCUGCUCUGGAUUCCCUUCCUUCUUGGGUCACCAUGAGGGCCAUCUUCUCUCUUUAUUGCCUUGGGAGAAAAAAUAUGCUGGUAAUCACAAAAUGCUGGGACCCCUGCGAAGGUCCACGUGGCCCCAAGCCUUCAUACACAUUACUUCUGCUCAACUUGAGGAUGUGUUAAAUACAGCAUUAGGAGACAAUGCAAGAUUUUACUGAGAAAAAGUGAAUUUUUAAUUAUCUUGUGA
rnacentral:lncRNA from 10 species